CCUGACUGCUCUUCCGUCUUAGAACUGAUACUAAGACAGACAGCGAGUAUUCGAAGGAGGAGGAAGAAUGUUUAAGUGAAAAUGUCAUCCCCAUUUUACAGCCCCCCAAAUGAUGUGCUUGCAGAAGCUGGACUGGCAUGAUGCCAGGGCAUGCAGUGCAGGGCACUGCAUCAGUGCUGACUGGCUUGAAGCAGAUGAAAUCCAUUGUACAGAUGAAGAAACUGAGGCCCAGAAACAGGCAUCUCCCAGGGAUGGAGCGGCCCCCCAAAGGCAGGCGGGGACAGAGCCGGGGCUCACUCUCUCCCCAGUGCGGCCAGCAGGCUCUAAAACCCGGGCCUGGCGGCUAUCAGGGGCCUCUACGGCCUUCCUGAGGCUGGAAAAACAGGAGCCGUUAUUAGUCACUGUUAGUCAUGCGUGUGCCUCCUCCAAGCUCUGCCAGGGGGCCACUGAGCCCAUGCUGGGCACCGAGCCACUGGCCCCACCCUCAUCCGGGAACUUGACCCACCUGCAGGGGCGCCCCACCCGGACAGAGAGCGACAUUAACAGACAGAGGGCCAGGGGGCGGGUGGGGGCAGGGCGGGAGGCCUUGGCCCCCUUCCCUCCCCACAGCCCUCUCCUAGGCCUGCCCUGAAUCUCCUCACUGACCCACAAAAUGCAGUCCUGUGGGCUCGGAGCAGGACUUUCUUCUGGAAUUGCUCUUUCUGUGUCUUUAAUCUUCUCCUUUCAGAUGUCCGCUAGGUUUAUUUUUGCCCCUCGCUUCUAUUGUGCACUCAUUAGGGCUAUUUGGCAUUUGUUCAUCAUUCCUGCAUUUCCAUUGUGGGGCGCCAUUUUGACUGUUUACAUCCGGGUACUUUGCACUUGUCGUCAGUGUGUCCAUCUCUUGGACUGUUAGUGUAGCUGCACUGUGCGUGGCUGGCUCCCAUUAGCGGUAUUCACUAUCUCGGCGUCUUUAUUCUUUUUGCGCCUCCAGGCCCUUUGCCUGGCGCUGCUGCAGGACGGCUGGGGCAGAGAUCCUAGAGCAAGACUGUCAGAGCCCCUCUGUGGGGAUCCCCAAGGAGUGCCGUCUGCAUUGGGGGGGGGGCGCGCUUCACCCCUAGACUCUGCGGGGCUCCCCUCGCUGUGGCUGUGGGAGGCUCUCCUGGUUCUGCUCGCUUCGCAUCCCUCCAUGGUAGUCUCAGAUUUUCCACCAUCAUCCCCAAAGGGGGAGUUCUUUCUGGCAGCCCCGGGGACAGCUGGGUCCCUGGGGGUGGGGGGAGGCAACGUGGGUGGCUCUGUUGUGCAGUGGGAAGUGCUGACCGAGGAGUCAGAGAACCCAGGUGUAGAUCCCAUUUCCAGGACUGCCUGUGUGACCCUGGUCUUGUCACUAGCCCACCCUGGUAGCUUCCCCUGUGCCUGGGGGUCCUCCAGAUCAGAGAAGGAUCCAAGGCGGAGCCGUGCCCCAGGGUGAACCCGGCUCGUCACCGUCAUGGACACCGGCAGACAUCGGACUCCUCCUGGACCACUUUGGGUGGCCCAUCUCCGGCCCAGGGGUGGAGGGGGGAGCCCGAGAGCUGGUCAUGAGGGGCUGGCCCAGCCUACAGCUCCCGAAUGGAGAUUCUGUGUCAUUCUUUUAUCCUUGAAACCGCAGGGCCCAGCAUACAGUAGGGGCUAAAUAAAUGCAGAUUUCUAC